rnacentral:lncRNA from 1 species
AAAGUGUAGUUGAUUUACAGUGUUGUGCCAAUUUCUGCUGUACAGCAAAAGGACCCAGUCAUACUUAUAUAUAAGUUCCUUUUCUUAUAUUAUCUUUCAUGGUGGUCUAUCCCAAAAGACUACAUAGAGUUCCCUGCACUAUAAAAUAGGACCUCAUUGCUUAUCCACUCUAAAUGUAAUAGUUUGCAUCUACUAACCCCAAACUCUCCGUCCAUCCCACUUCCUCUCCCCUUCCCCCUCCUUCUUGGCAACCACAAGUCUGUUCUCUAUGUCUGUGAGUCUGCUUCUGUUUUGUAGAUCAGUUCUUUUUGUGCCAUAUUUUAGAUCUCACAUAUAAGUGAUAUCAUAUGGUGUCUCUUUCUGACUUACUUCACUUAGUAUGAUAAUCUCUAGUUGCAUCUAUGUUGCUGCAAAUGACAUUAUUUUGUUCUUUUUAUGGAUGAGUAGUAUUCCAUUGUAUAUAUGUACCACACCUUCUUAAUUCAUUCACCUUACAGUGGACAUUCAGGUUGCUUCCAUGUCUUGGGUUUUGUGAAUGGUGCUGUUAUGAACACAUACGUGCCUGUAUCCUUCUGAGUUCAAUUUUGUCUGGAUAUUUGUUCAGGAGUGGGAUUGCUGGAUCAUUUGGUAGUUCUAUAUUUAGUUUUCUGAGGAACCUCCAUACUGUUUUCCAUAGUGGUUGUAUCAAUUUACAUUCCUUCCAACAGCAUUCUUGAUCUGUCUAAAUGAAAAUCUGGAGUUCCCAUUGUGGCUCAGUGGCCGCAAACCCAACUAGUAUCCAUGAGGAUGCAGGUUUGGUCCCUGGCCUUGUUCAGUAGGUUAAGGAUACAGCAUUGCAGUGAGCUGUAAGCUGUGGUGUAGGUCACAGAUGUGGCUUGGAUCUGGCAUUGCCGUGGCUGUGGUAUAAGCUAGCAGCUGCAGCUGUGAUUGAAACACUAGCCUGAGAACUUCCAUAUGCUGUGGACACGGCCCUAAUUAAUUAAUUAAUUAAUUAAAAUGAAAAUCUGAUCAUGUGACUUUCCCUGCCUAAAAUCCUUCACUGGAUUUUCAUUACUCUUGGAAUAACACCAAAAUUCUCUAGUGAGCCUCUUCAGGAUCCUCUGCCUGCUUUUCUAUCUUUCUCAUGCCUCCCUCUCCCACAUUCGACUUUCUUCAGUUCCCUCCAAAGCCCCACCUCCUUCCCCCUGAAGAGCCUUUACUCAGGAUGUUGCUUUUGCUUGAAAUAUUCUUCCCCUCCUUAUGCCUCCUUUGACUUAUUUAGCUAUGACUCAAAUGUUACAUUUUGGGGGAAGCAAGCCUUGCCUGAAUCUUCAGACUUGCUAACAUUUCCCACUCAUGUAUACUCAUACUUUUUCAUAGAGCUUAUACAAUUGUAAUUAAUUAUCUGUUUGUAAACAUAUUUGAUUCAAGUAUAUCUCCUUUAUUGGCCAAAAGUUUCAUGAGCGCAAGAACCAUGUCUAUCUUGCACACCAUUGUACCUCAUGACUUUCGAGGGAACUUAAUAAAGGUUGGUCGAAUGAAUGAAUAGUAUAUGAUUUGUAGGUAAGGGUAAAAGACACCUCCCUCUUUCUUUU